GAUGAACGCUAGCUACAGGCUUAACACAUGCAAGUCGAGGGGCAUCAUGACGAAAGCUUGCUUUUGUUGAUGGCGACCGGCGCACGGGUGAGUAACGCGUAUCCAACCUUCCCCCUAGUAGGGCAUAGCCCGAUGAAAAUCGGAUUAAGACCCUAUGUUCUUCGUAGAUGGCAUCUGAAAUGAAGCAAAGGUUUACCGCUAAGGGAUGGGGAUGCGUCCGAUUAGGUAGUCGGCGGGGCAACGGCCCACCGAGCCAUCGAUCGGUAGGGGUUCUGAGAGGAAGGUCCCCCACAUUGGAACUGAGACACGGUCCAAACUCC
rnacentral:rRNA from 1 species